rnacentral:rRNA from 1 species
AUGAACGCUGGCGGCGUGCCUAAUCCCUGCAAGUCGAGCGCACAGACGAGGAGCUUGCUCCUCUGACGUUAGCGGCGGACGGGUGAGUAACACGUGGAUAACCUACCUAUAAGACUGGGAUAACUUCGGGAAACCGGAGCUAAUACCGGAUAAUAUAUUGAACCGCAUGGUUCAAUAGUGAAAGACGGUUUUGCUGUCACUUAUAGAUGGAUCCGCGCCGCAUUAGCUAGUUGGUAAGGUAACGGCUUACCAAGGCAACGAUGCGUAGCCGACCUGAGAGGGUGAUCGGCCACACUGGAACUGAGACACGGUCCAGACUCCUACGGGAGGCAGCAGUAGGGAAUCUUCCGCAAUGGGCGAAAGCUUGACGGAGCAACGCCGCGUGAGUGAUGAAGGUCUUCGGAUCGUAAAACUCUGUUAUUAGGGAAGAACAAAUGUGUAAGUAACUAUGCACGUCUUGACGGUACCUAAUCAGAAAGCCACGGCUAACUACGUG